CCCCCCGGCCUCUCCCUGGAGCUCCAGAGCUCCUCCCCACCUCUCUCGGCCGCCAUGGCCGCCGCGAAGCUCGGCUUAAAUCCGAGCCAUCCGAGCCCUCCCCCUCCCUCCUGACCUCACCAUAGCUCCACCCAGACCCCGGCGGUCCUCCCCGUGUCCUCGCCCCACCGCCGGAGCCACCUUGGCCGCAUGCCCCAAGAUCAACCGCCGCCUCUGCCUCCUUCUUCCACCAACCGUCGCCGCCUCCCCACUCCUCCCCGGGGCUUGUUUUCCCCCUGGAUGGAUGCGGUGGGCCGCGCCGCGCUCGCCGGUGGCCUCCCCUUGGCCGGAGUUGGCCGGAGCCGCGAGGCCAGCGGCGGCGGCGGCACCCCUCCCUCUGUUCUGCGCCCGCGUCGGGGGGAAGAAGAGGAGGAGCGGGAGGAGGGAGUUGACCGAGCGCGUGGACCCCGCGGCCCCACCAGUCAGUGACCCGGGGGGUUGACCCCGCUGACGCUGACGUGGCAAGUGGAGACGUAUUCGGGCGUGUGCGUUUUCAUCUGCAGAAAGCGUAUCGCGUGAAGUGCGCUUCCUCUUUGGAUUAGUCCCUAAACUUCCUCACCUCACAACUUUUUACUCGUAACUCCAAAUGAGCCCCUCCGGGAGAGAACUGUUUCCGACAAAUCUUUUCGCGGCUUCACAGCACUUCUUCCCGGUGCCUUCUUCACCCCCAAGCAAGCCACAAUACCCACUUGCAUGAUAGUCAUGCAGUAGCCAUGGUUUUCAACUCGAAUAUUUAAUAAAUGUUUUCCUAUUUAAAACAUGGUUAUCGUUAAUCCGGUGCUGCUUAGAGUUUCAUGUUCACUCUCGUGUUAUGUUGUCUUGCACCUGGUUAUCUUGUACUAGUUGCUAGUAUUACUUUCAUAUGCUUAUGCUUGCCAGUAGUACAUGUUGAUGUUGGUGAUGGCCUUCGGUGCAUGACUAUCGUCUGUUCCGAGUGUCGUCGUUAUGCAUGUUCCAUUGCAUCCAGUUGGUUAAAUGAUUGCAUGGUAGCAUUCUUGAUAUGUCUUGCAUGAUAUUUAUUGUUGAUGCUAGUGGUCAUGCUAGGUUUCUAUGAGUAGUGUUGUA